CUGCUGACGAGCGGCGGACGGGUGAGUAAUGCUUGGGUAUCUGCCUUAUGGUGGGGGACAACAGUUGGAAACGACUGCUAAUACCGCAUAAUGUCUACGGACCAAAGCGGGGGACCUUCGGGCCUCGCGCCAUAAGAUGAGCCCAAGUGGGAUUAGCUAGUUGGUAAGGUAAUGGCUUACCAAGGCGACGAUCCCUAGCUGGUCUGAGAGGAUGACCAGCCACACUGGAACUGAGACACGGUCCAGACUCC
rnacentral:rRNA from 1 species